rnacentral:rRNA from 1 species
GACGAACGCUGGCGGCGUGCUUAACACAUGCAAGUCGAACGGAAAGGCCCUGCUUUUGUGGGGUGCUCGAGUGGCGAACGGGUGAGUAACACGUGAGUAACCUGCCCUUGACGUUGGGAUAACUUCAGGAAACUGGGGCUAAUACCGGAUAGGAGCUCCUGCUGCAUGGUGGGGGUUGGAAAGUUUCGGCGGUUGGGGAUGGACUCGCGGCUUAUCAGCUUGUUGGUGGGGUAGUGGCUUACCAAGGCUUUGACGGGUAUCCGGCCUGAGAGGGUGACCGGCCACAUUGGGACUGAGAUACGGCCCAGACUCCUACGGGAGGCAGCAGUGGGGAAUAUUGCACAAUGGGCGGAAGCCUGAUGCAGCAACGCCGCGUGCGGGAUGACGGCCUUCGGGUUGUAAACCGCUUUCGCCUGUGACGAAGCGUGAGUGACGGUAAUGGGUAAAGAAGCACCGGCUAACUACGUG